AGGGUUCAGGGUUCAGGGUUUAGUGUUUAGGGUUUAGGGUUUAGAGUUUAGGGAUGGAGUUUAGGGUUUAGAGUUAAAGGAUGAGGUUUAGGAUUUAGGGUUUAGGGUUUAGGAUUUAGGGGUUAGGGUUUAAAGUUUAGGUUUUAGGUUUUAGAAUUGGGGACUAGGGUUUUGGGAUAGGAUUUUAAAUUUUGAAAAAUAAAAAAAAAAUUCAAAAGAUAAAAUGCUAUUUUGGUCAGUUUAGUUUUUGAUGGCUAUUUUUGUGACAUAAACUAUAAACUUAGAAAGAUGAUAUUUUGGAGAUUUGUCCUAAAAAAAAUUGAUGUAUACGAUUCUUCUUCUCCGACGUCUUCAACUUCCAUGGUGAUGGUGACAGGCUGAC
rnacentral:lncRNA from 1 species